rnacentral:rRNA from 1 species
GACGAACGCUGGCGGCGUGCCUAACACAUGCAAGUCGCACGGGACCAGCAAUGGUUCAGUGGCGGACGGGUGCGUAACACGUGAGGAACAUGCCUAUCGGCGGGGGAUAGCCGGCCCAACGGCCGGGUAAUACCGCGUACGACCUUCGGGUGGCAUCACCUGAUGGUGAAAGACAGCAAUGCGCCGAUAGAGUGCCUCGCGGCCUAUCAGCUAGUUGGGAGGUAAUGGCUCACCAAGGCUACGACGGGUAGCUGGUCUGAGAGGAUGACCAGCCAC